UAAUUUGAAAGGGCUACCUACUAUAUUAUUCCAACUAUCUGACAUUCUGGUAAAGGCAAAGCUAUGGAAAUAGGAAAAAGAUCAGUGGAUUGCCAGGGGUCAGGAGGCAGAUAGGAA